rnacentral:rRNA from 1 species
CAUGCAAGUCGAACGCGAAAGGGGCUUCGGCCCUGAGUAGAGUGGCGAACGGGUGAGUAACACGUGGGUGACCUACCUUCGAAUGGGGGAUAACGUCCCGAAAGGGGCGCUAAUACCGCAUAACAUCCUGCCUUUGAAGAGGUGGAGAUCAAAGCUGGGGAUCGCAAGACCUGGCGUUUGAAGAGGGGCCCGCGUCCGAUUAGCUAGUUGGUGAGGUAACGGCUCACCAAGGCGACGAUCGGUAACCGGCCUGAGAGGGCGGACGGUCACACUGGGACUGAGACACGGCCCAGACUCCUACGGGAGGCAGCAGUAGGGAAUCUUCCGCAAUGGACGAAAGUCUGACGGAGCAACGCCGCGUGAGUGAAGAAGGUUUUCGGAUCGUAAAACUCUGUUGUCAGGGAAGAACAAGUACCGGAGUAACUGCCGGUACCUUGACGGUACCUGGCCAGAAAGCCACGGCUAACUACGUGCCAGCAGCCGCGGUAAUACGUAGGUGGCAAGCGUUGUCCGGAAUUAUUGGGCGUAAAGCGCGCGCAGGCGGCCUUUUAAGUCUGAUGUGAAAGCCCACGGCUCAACCGUGGAGGGUCAUUGGAAACUGGAAGGCUUGAGUGCAGAAGAGAAGAGCGGAAUUCCACGUGUAGCGGUGAAAUGCGUAGAGAUGUGGAGGAACACCAGUGGCGANGCGGCUCUUUGGUCUGUAACUGACGCUGA